GGGAGAUAGGGCGGGUAGUGUGAAUACACAGAAGACCACUCAAAGAGCUAGUUACAGGUAGGAAACCUGACCUCCUCCUUCAUGGUCUCUGUGCAUCACACUUUGGACCAUUGCAAACUGUUCUUACCUAGAUGGAGGGAGCAGCCCAUUGGGAAACUGACUGGAGAACUGAAGUGCCAAAAACUGCCUGAGACUGGGAUCAUACUUCUAAACCAUAAUGGCGGAUGAACAUGGAGGAACUCAACCAGGUUGCCAUCCUGAAGAUCUUAUCCAGCAGGACAUUGUGCCAGAAUACAAUGGAAGCUGCCAUAGCCCGAGUGGAGUGUGCCCGGAUGGGGCAAGGCAGUGGCUUCUUUGCCAGCUGAUUGUCAGGUGUACGGACUUCAGAUCCUAGUGUAAUCUGUGGCCAUGGUCCAAUAUCAGGAGUUGGGGGUGAGAGUUAAGUGAAGAGAAUUCAGCAAUUGAAGGGUGAUUUUGACAUGAUGCAUGAGGUGCUGAUGGGAGGAGCCUACCAGCAACCAGUCAUCUAUAAAAGGGAAGACUGUCACUCCCCAAAGUUGAAGAUGCACUGCUACCACCACCAUGCACUUUGUAAAAACCCGAGGGACUGACGCUAGCCCAAAAGGAAAGACCUUGUAUUGGUAAGUAUGGUCCAUUCGGAAUCAGAUAUUUGCGAUGAGAAGUUGCAAUGGAUAGAUGAAGGUAUGCAUGUCUGGUGGGAGCAUGGGGAGACACAAAAAGAAUAUGAUCAUGUAGGCUGGAACAUGACAUUUGGUAUUUUUAAAAAAGAAGGACUUCAUGUAUGAACACACACACCCCACCUAGAAACUGAAGAGGAAAAAGUAGUCAUAUUCUUGAAGCCUGGGAAUAACCUCUCCCCUCCCUCCCUCCCAUAGAGACUCAUAGCACUUCUUAAUCAGGAUUUAAAAUCUUGUCAUAUAUUUUAGUUAAUCAUUUACAUUUUGUAUUAUAUAGACACACAUGAAAGACCAAACAGGAUUUAUUAAAGGUAGGUGUUUAUUUUGUAAUAUUAAUGUAAUUUCAAAAUAACAAGGGAAACAGGGAUGUUACUCUUUUCAGGUGCAGAAAAAGCCGAUGAUUGGAUUGACUAGCCCAUCUUUGUCAAGUUCUGCAAGAGUUACA